AUUUUCUUAGUAUAACAGUAUAGAUGACUUCCAAUCACCUGGUCUUGGUUAAACCCCGAGAGAAAAUA
rnacentral:tRNA from 1 species